AACGAACGCUGGCGGCAUGCCUAACACAUGCAAGUCGAACGAGACCUUCGGGUCUAGUGGCGCACGGGUGCGUAACGCGGGGGAACCUGCCCUUAGGUUCGGAAUAACUCCCCGAAAGGGGUGCUAAUACCGGAUAAUGUCUUCGGACCAAAGAUUUAUCGCCUUUGGAUGGGCCCGCGUUGGAUUAGCUAGUUGGUAGGGUAAAAGCCUACCAAGGCGACGAUCCAUAGCUGGUCUGAGAGGAUGAUCAGCCACACUGGGACUGAGACACGGCCCAGACUCCUACGGGAGGCAGCAGUGGGGAAUAUUGGACAAUGGGCGAAAGCCUGAUGCAGCAAUGCCGCGUGAGUGAUGAAGGACUUAGGGUUGUAAAGCUCUUUUACCCGGGAUGAUAGUGACGGUACCGGGAGAAUAAGCCCCGGCUAACUACGUG
rnacentral:rRNA from 1 species